rnacentral:lncRNA from 1 species
AUCAUUUCAGAUUGAACAACAAUCCUCAAUUGAAAGUGGUUCCGCAAGACCUUAAGCACUUGGAAAACCUUCAAUUUCUUGGAUUUGCUGAUAUGCCACUUGAAUUGGUUGAGAGCAUUGAUCCAAGAAAAGGUGGAGAAUGUCAUUGGAUAAUCAAGCAUAUUCCUCUAGUACUCAUUCGUCGGAAAGUAGGAUCAAGAUUUCAUGACUAUGAGUUGUACCCUAUUCCUACUAUAUCCAAUGUCUGAAAUAUCAAGGUACUCUUCCCUCUUACAAUAGAAUACUUCAGUCUUCCCUUAACAUGAAUGUUUGCAUCUUUCUUUCUUCUUUUUUUGACAGUAUGUUUGCAUCUUUCUUGAUUGGAAGAAAUAUUUAAUUUUGUAUCAUGCUUCGGUCACAAGAAAUACAAUAUAAUGCUUCGGGUACAAGAGACCAUUUGUAUCAUGGUUAAUUUUGAUAGUUUCCUAUGUCCAUUUGAACAGAUUCGAAUUCUCCAUGUUGCAGCUCACAAGAAGAUGCACUUUGUCUCUUCAUUCCUUCUAUGGUGUGCUCGAAUCCCCCAAUAAACUAUUUCAUUGAAUUGUACUAUCUACUACAUAAUCAAGUAAUGUGUACUGUAUUAAUUGACAAUUGAUUUUGGCUUUCUUUUUCUAUCAUUUGUGAUGUGGAUGCUUUUCUACAAACAGUAGAAUCGACAUUUCUAUGGAUAUUUAAUUUUCUAUGAAAGAUUAAACAUAAACGUUUAUAAAAACUUAAUUAGUAUUGAUAUUUAACUUCAUACCUAAUAGGAUUUUGCACUUCAUAUGGUAACAUUUACAAAAGGGUAGGUAGGUAGUUUCUUCUUAUCUAUGCUAGAGUUCAAGAGUUACAGCAUACCUGAUAUAGAUGGAGGACUCUGAAAUCAUGAAGGUACAUGGUUGUGAUCUUCAUUUGAACUAAAUUAAUGGCCACUUCAUCUUCUUGUGGUGUUUAUUUCUUUCUAAUCCACAAACCAUGCAUAUAUAUCUUGAGAUAAUUUGGAGCUUCUACCAUAAUGGAUGCAUAUUUGAAUAGUAGAGUACGUACUAAAUAGUAAGCAAUUAAUUCUUUACAAACCAACUGAUAAUUGUAAAGACAGGGUGUGAAUAACUGGGAGUAUCAGGGUGUGAACUCCGGUCAUGCAUAUUAUAUGCAAUGUCCUACCAAUUGAGUUAUGUUCACGAGGAUAACAAAAGAAAUACUACCGCCCAAAUNNNNNNNNNNNNNNNNNNNNNNNNNNNNNNNNNNNNNCCAUCACAAUUAACCACCCAUAUAAUUAAUUCUUCAAUGUUUGAAAUCGUUUUUUGGUGCACAUAAGAGGAAAAAUAAUCGAGGAACUUUAGCACGUGAUAUUAAUUAAGCAGUGAUGAAAUUACAUCUGAAUUAAUUGUGAGAGAUUCAAAGAUCAGUUAUGGGAAACAGUCAAUCAAAUAGGCCAACUUGCUAUCACAACGAUUCAAUACUGGCAGCGCGCAAAGGAAACACAUUAGGUUUUGCUUACGCACAAGUGACGCAUUAUUAGGUUGAUGACUCCAACUUUGAUCAACAUAUAAACAAACAUAAAGGAAAGGAAACUUUAUCCAGGUAAAUGUAUCUUCAAAUUACACUAAUUCUUUCACAAUACUGGUAAAGAAAAAAACAGGUUCCUAUAUUUGUUAUAUAUACUGCAGAAGAAUAAAGUAAUGGAGACAAGUCACAGAAACUAUAGAUAUCAUGUUUGAUUGAUGAAUAUCAAUUUGGUUGGGUAGGACACUGUCUAGUGUAAUUUAAGUCCAUUGUCCAUUUUAUCGACUGUCUCUAGACUCUUAAUAUUCAAAAAUAACAUUUUAGUCCGAGAGCUAAGUCCGGUGGACUCUUUAGUACAAUUGUAGAUGGCAAUGAGGCGCAAAUGAUGGAGAGGAGGCAUCUCAACUACGUUGACACAGCUCCUCCUAACCACCUAACACAACACCUCAAAGUAAAAUAUUAUUAAAAAUUGCAAUAUAUAGAACAAACAUCUUGGGGGGACUAGACCAAAACCCAAGGAGGAAAUAAAUACAAGCAUCUGCCUCGUUAAAAACCUUAUUAGGGAAAAAAGAGUGCAGUGCAUACAAAGAAAGAAAAAAAAAAGCUUAAUGAAAUGUUAGUCCACAUUAUAUGUUCCUAAAUAUAGAAACAAAGUUGCAUCUAUCUUUAUUUGCAAAUUUAAAUAACCAUUCUACUAUUUGUAGAAAAAAUCCACGCCAUAAAUGACAGAAAACAGAAAAAGAAAGCCAAAGUAAAUUGACCAUUAAAGGAGUUCAAAGUGUAUCUUCUUGUGAGCUUCAACACGGAGAAUAUGAAUCUGUUCACAUGGACACAAGGAACUGUCAAAAUUGUGCAUGAUACAAAUAACCAUUCUAAAGCUGAAUGAAUAAUCUUGUUACAUGAUUAACGAAAGAGCUGGUUAAAGUUAGCAAGUAUUGACAUCAAUAUAUAAUACAAACAUCAGACAUAAAAUAAAAAAAUAUAAACAUCAUACACAAUAGUAUAGCAACUUUCGGAAAUGCAAAAAUGUUAUAACAUAAUCAGAAAUACAAAAAUAUAGAAACUUUCAUUCAACUGUUAUAUGCAGAGAGAUAGUACAUAUACACAAUAAACUUAAACUUUUCUUAGGAUAAACUUUUCAUUCAACUGUGCAUGCAUAAAAGCAUAAAUUUAUUUGAAAUAAAAAAAUAUGCAAAUAUUCAUGUAAAGGGAAGAUUGAAAAUUGAAAUGAAAAACAAAAUUGAAAAAAGGUACUUUGGUUAGAGUGGCAAUGUAAUUUCAACCAUUCACAAGAGAAGCAUAACAUUGUUAGAGGAAAGAUUACCUUGAUAUUUCAGAUAUUGAUUUGAGUAGGAAGGCGUUGCGAAGUAUACUCAUGAAAAUUUGGUACAAAAUUCUGACUUCCAUAUCUAAGCAACAACAAAAUUACACAAAAGUUUUAUUUAGGAACACUUAGAACACAAACUAAUACAAAACUAACUAAAUAAUAAAUAGUCUUGUUGCAUGAUUUGUGAAAGAUCUGAUUGAAAUUAGCAAGUCUCAGAAUCAAUAUUCACUCACAAGAGAAGCAAAACAUUGUUAGAGGAAAGAGUGAGAGUACCUUUUUUAUAUUUCUGACACGUAGGAAUGCGGCGCCAGUCAUAUUCAUGAAAUCUUGAUUCUACUUUCUCACGAACUUGUACAAGGGGAAUAUGAUUGAUAAUCUGAUGGCAUGGUCCAUCUUUAUUUGGAUCAAUGCUAUCAACUAAUUCAUCUGGCAUAUCAGCAAAUCCAAGGUAUUUAAGGUUUCCCAAGUUUUGGAGGUCACUGGGUAACACCUUCAAUUGAGGAUUUCCGUGGCAACUAAAGUAUUCGAGAGCAGGUAAAGCUCCUAUGCCUAUAGAUACAGAACUUAGUGUAUUUAAUCUAGUGAGAUCCAACUCCUUCAAUUUAGGAAACCCUCCAACUUCAAAAUUCAAACUAUCACCAGCAAAUGCAUCAUCCCACAAAAUAAGCCACGACAAGUUUUGCAAAUUUUUCAAAGAGUCAAGUGGAUCAUGUUCAAAUUUACAAUAGCCAAGCAUUAGCUUCACAAGACAUUCAAUUUUUGGAAUCCAAUCAGGAAACUUGGUUAGUCUAGCUUUCAAAUUGACCACUCUAAGAUUGCGUGGAACUGAUACAAAAUCCAAGUCAAGGAUUUCCUCUUCAGCUAUAACAGUAACAUUUAGAGAUUCAAGGAAGUUCAUCUCUUGUAUUGCAGCACAUAAUGCAUUUCCAUAUUCUUGUCGCACACGCCUUAUGCCCAACUUCCUUAAUUGUCUCAACUUUUUCAGCUCUUGUAUUACGACUAUUCCAGCAUGAUCUGCUUCCAAAAAGUAAAGCUUUUGCAAAGAUUCCAAGCAUCCAAUACCCUUUUGCAUUUUCACCCCUUUGGUAUCCGUCAACGUAGAAUAAUUCCCUGCUUUUAUUUUAUAAUAAACUGGAAGAAGCCUGAGCUUUGUGAGCUUGUUUAUCUCCAUUGGUAACUCGUGAACUUCAGUUUGCCUUAGAUCCAACGUUUCUAAGUUCACUAGGUUACCAAUAGAUCUAGGAAGAACUGUAACUUUUGUAUGACUCAGGUUCAAGUACUUUAGAUAGAAAAGACUCCCCAAGUUCUCAGGAACAUAAUUCAACAAAGAAUGUGCAAAGUCAAGUAUUUUUAUAAGCUUGAACUUGAUAGAUAUAUUGCCAAUGAAAUAUUCAGGAAAUUCGUUUUUGUCAAAAACGAAUAUAGCACGAAUUCCUGAGUUACUAUUGCUUCUCAACACAUUGUUGGAGAAAGUUGCUAUAGAAAAGCGUCUGGUAACGUCAACUGUGACUUGUUCAUGAUCCUCAUACAUUAUAUGGCAAAAACUUAGAGCUUUCAUUUUUUUAGUGAUUAUACGACGCAACAAAUUAUGGACUUUACAACUUUUGACUUUCCCAUCAAUGCCAACACUAGAAACUUGAACCAAACUUGUCUGUAUCAGCUCUUUCAAGUACCCUUCCGCAACUUCCUCCAAAGUUGUUCCCUCAUUAUACCUAACAAAUCCUUCAGCUAUCCAUUGACCAAUAAGUCUCUUACAGUUGAUGGUGUGGUGCUCCGGAUAGAUACCAAAAUACAGCAUGCAUAAUUUCAAAUGCCAUGGAAGAUCAUCAUAACUCCGAGAUAAAAUCAUUGUUAUCUUAGUGAAAUGUGUAUUGCCAUCUAACUCCAUGCUCAGAUUUUGACUCAUCUUUCUCCACUCAACAAUGUUUUUAUCUUUUGUUGACAAAAGACCACCAAUGGUCACAAUUGCUAGUGGUAGCCCUCCACAUUUUUCAACAAUUUCGUCAGACACAUCCUCAAGUUCUGUUGGACACUGCCCUCUAAAUGCCUUCUUGCAAAACAGUUCCAAUGCUUUGUCAUGAGGCAAACGAUUCAGGUUGUGAAAAUGAACAACAGGAAAAUGUUCUGUAAAAUUGUUUGCGGCAAGCUCCAUUUGAGUGGUCACAAUGAUCCUACUUCCUUUGUUAUUUUCAAUCAUGGAAUAUGCAAUCCCAUCAGAAAAGUCUUUUGCCAGAACAUCAUCAAAACACAUCAAGUACCGCUUUGGCUCAAGGUAUUGUUUCACAUGAUUAAUCAAUUCAAUUUCACCCAUCUCCUGAAAACCAUCUGGAACAUUCUCUUUGCUAUCCACGUAAAACUUGUUUAUCAUAUCAAUCAACAACUCCUUAGCAGUGUUUGAUUGAGAAGCUGAGAUGUAAAAGCGACAAUCAAAGCGCCUUUUCACAUCUUGGUCAUUAAAAACAUGGUUAGCAAGAGUUGUUUUUCCGAGUCCAGACAUGCCUACCACAGCAACCAAUGUGCGCUCACUGGUUCCCCCCACCAACCAGCUAACCAAUUCAUCUCUUGAGGACUCAAACCCCACAACUUCUUCAUUGAAAUAAGCAGGUAUGUCUACGUUACCAAACAAGCCUGCUGUGGUCCUUUCAGGUUGAAAAUCAAACGAUGAAAUUCUAUUUUUGAUGCUGGCAAGUGAUACUUUGAUGCCAUUAAUCUUAGAAGCAACCUUACAAGUCUUCCAGGCUGGGAUCUUGAGAAAAAUGUUUUGGGGUAUGGAUAUGAAUCUAGAAUUGUUGACGUUGACCCUUUGUGCAACAUACAUGUUAUACUUAUCAAUGACAUCUUCUAAGCGAAAACAUUCUUCUCUCAGCUGCUUCACCCAAAUUUUGACUCUUUCAUCAGCAGCAGCUUUUGUGUCUGCAUUCUUCAGCAAGUCUUGGAAGCAUUCAAGUUCAUUUUUUAUCUCGUUGAAGUUUCUUCUAAACCGUGUCAACAAAAGUGUUCCUUCUACUACAAAUGGUAAGGAUUGCCGCAGAACAAAUAACACUGCAAUUUCUGCCAUUUCAUUUCAUAUUUCAUCAGAUUUCAUCCCCACCAACUUCAAAUGCCAUUUUUUGAUUCGUUCAAAACUGACUGGUGAUUUUUUUUUUUUUUUUUGCAAAAGCUUGAUAACAUUAAUGCAUUUUUAGACACAACAAAUUAAGAUAGAGUAGACACAACAAAUAAUGCAUUUUUUUUUAAUAACAUAAUAAUGCAUGGUCUUUUUUUUUAUCAAAAAAUAGUGCAUGGUCUUUGGUCUAUUAUAAAAAUAAAAUGAGUGGUCCUUUGAAUAUUUCUGCAUAUUUAAAUCUGCUAACAAAGAAGGAAUCAUCAUUUUUUUUCUUCCAAGUAGCCUGAUGGAAAUUCAUCUUAAAGGUGAAUAAUUAGAGUGUUCGGGGUUCAAACUCUGGUUUCGCACAUAAAGUGCAACGUUUCUAUCAAUUGAGCUAAUUUCAUGGCUAGAAAAUCUCAUCAUAUUAUUUUUUGACGUAAGGAAUCAUCAUAUUAUAAGUGCCUGAUUAUAUUUUAUUUUAUUGACAAAAGGGCAUCUGAUUUAAUUAGUAUUACUCCCUAGUCGCCCCGUCCCAUAAUAAGUGAGUCAGUUGACUGUUUCACGUAUGUCAAUGCAUAACUUUGACGAUUAAUAUCUUUAAUUGUAUAAUAGUAAAAAUUAUAAAAAAAAAUUGAUAUUUUGAAAAUACUCAGACGAAUCUAACAACAUCUUAUAUGUUAAUAUUUAUUUUUACUUGUUAGUAGAAAAAUAUGAUUAAAGCAAUAUGUAUUAAUAGUGCACAAUAGUCAACUGGCUCACUCAUCGAGGGACGGAUGAAGCGAGGGAGUAGUAUGAAGUUACCUACCAAACAAAUUGGGAGAUUUAUGGAAUAGCAUUGUGUGUUGUCACUGCCUUGAUGUAGUGUUAAUACCAACCAUCCGAUCUGAAUUAAUGGUUGAGAUUUAAUAGUGAUAGAUUUAAUCACAGUCGUCCGAUAAAAAAUUAGUGGUUGUGAUUCAAAACAGUGGGAAAUUGUGUUAAUAAUAACUGCAUCAGAUCUGGAUCCGAGAUUUAUCAGGAGUACAAGUUUCGUUAAGGUAAAAAAANNNNNNNNNNNNNNNNNNNNNNNNNNNNNNAAAAAAAAUUGUCAAGUAGUCCGACUAUAGCUUAACGCUUAGAAAAGUGAAGAUUUUCUUCUUGUGGUUUCAAAAGGGGUGGUUUUGGGCCCUUCUUUGACACGAAAUCAUCCUUGUACAUCUUUUUUCCUUUGUUUUAUUCUAAAUAAGUGGUUCUCACAUAAAAAAUUUCUUGUUUUAUUUUGUGUUUUCUUCGUCUCAAUGCGUUCUGUCCUCGUGCGUUGUUUGUUUGAUUUCCUGUCUUCGUGCGGUGUUCAUUUGCUUUCCUUUUUUUGCUACGUUCGUUUGAUUCAGAUUGACAUAUCAACUUUCAUCAACUACUGAUUCAAUCAAUGACAAAGUCACCAUUCAUCAAUGAUGAAGAUCUAAAGACAUGAGUAUUUCAGUUACUUUUAUUUUGUCACAUUAUUUGUAGGCAUGAGUAUUUCAGUUACUUUUAUUUUGUCACAUUGUAUAUAACGUCAAAAGGGAACAUCAUAAUCUAAGAUUAAAUUUUAUGCAAAGAUUAAAAUGGACUAGAACUAUAUAUUUCCGAGUGUAGAUAACUAAUCUAUUGAUACUUAUAUGAUAUUUUAUGAAUAUUAACAAUAUAUAACUAUUACUUUAGGGCCUAAAAAUUAAUCAAUUAAUAUACAUCUGAUAUUUUGUAGGUAUAAAUAAUAUAUAACUAAUAUUAUAGGACAACAAAAUUUUGAGUUGAGGCCCUCAAAAUUUUGAGGNNNNNNNNNNNNNNNNNNNNNNNNNNNNNNNNNNNNNNNNNNNNNNNNNNNNNNNNNNNNNNNNNNNNNNNNNNNNNNNNNNNNNNNNNNNNNNNNNNNNNNNNNNNNNNNNNNUGCAACGUUUUUGUUGUCCCUUAUUGUGCGGUGUUCAUUUGAUUUCUAUUGAAAAGAUCGGUUUCAAUCAAUUACAGAUUCAACCAAUGAUUUGGGCUUCAACGCUGCAGAUCCGGAGGCAUGGAUACUUCGGUGACUUUAACUUUAUCAUAUUAUUUGUUGUAGACAUUUUGCCGUUGUAUGCUAUUAACUCGGAUGAUGUGAGUUUUGUUCACAGAUUCAUCCUUUACGUUGUUAGCGAUGUUGAUUAUGUGGUUGUAUUUGAUGUAAUCUAUCAAUUUGAAUAAAUGAAUAUCAUUUUGUUAUUGUCAAAAAAAAAAAAACAAUUUUUUUUUUGUCGUAACGGGCUAAAAGCAAUGAUUGGAUUUUAUCAGGAGACAAGCCAACAAUGUUGCUCACUUGUUAGCAAGAGCGGCGUUGUCAUUUGCUAGUCGCCAAGAUUUUGAUUAUGGGUGUGUUUGGUAACACAAAUAAGCUAGCUUAUAGCUUAUUAUAUGAGCUUAUAAGCUUGUUUCAAAAAAUUAGAGAUGUUUGGUAACAAGCUUUUUAUACUAGCUUAUAGCUUUUUUUCAGAUGCUAUUUCGGGUCUGUUUGAUAAAAAUAAGCUAUAAGCUAGCUGAUAGCUGAUAAGCUAGCUGAUAGCUGAAAAGCUAGCUUAUAGCGAAUAGCUGAAAAGAUAGCUUAUUGAAAUUAAAGUGUUUGGUAAAAUUAGCUUUUAAAGUGGUUAUUAAAUAUAAAAUUACAUAAUUGAUAGUGGGUAGUUUAUUUUUUAGAGUGGGUAGUUAUUAAACUAAAGGGUAAAAAUGAAAUAAAGUGUAAAAUGCUAUAAGCUAUAAGCUCAAAUGCUACUUGAAAUCGCAUCUGAAAAAAAGCUAUAAGCUAGUACAAAAAGCUUGUUACCAAACACCUCUAAUUUUUUGAAACAAGCUUAUAAGCUCAUAUAAUAAGCUAUAAGCUAGCUUAUUUGUGUUACCAAACACACCCAGCAUUUGAGCUUAUAGCUUAUAGCUUUUUACACUUUAUUCCAUUUUUACCCUUUAAUUUAAUAACUACCCACUCUAAAAAAAACUACCCACUAUCAAUUAUGUAAUUUUAUAUUUAAUAACCACUUUAAAAGCUAAUUUUACCAAACACUUUAAUUUCAAUAAGCUAGCUUUUCAGCUAUCAGCUAUAAGCUAGCUUUUCAGCUCUCAGCUAGCUUAUCAGCUAUCAGCUAGCUUAUAGCUUAUUUUUACCAAACAGACCCUAUAUACCAUCUUGUAUUGAAACUAUUUUGAUUAAUGAAAUGAGUUAAGAUUGUUACGGUAAAAAGAAAAUAUAGGUCGUCUAAUAUGUGAUUGCAAUUAAUGAGAAUCUUGAUCCAAGCAUUGUGCACAUCUUGUCCAAUAAGAGUUAUACAAUACAUUUUCCCAUGCCUCAGGUGAUGCUAACUUUGGAGAAAACUUAGGUCAAGUAUUAUAUAUCCAGUUGGUCGUGUUCUCCACUUAAAAUUUGACACAUCAAACAUUCUAUUUAAGUGGAGAACAAUUUGUUAAAAGUUGACAUGAAAAAAAUUGUUGAUGUGUCAAAUUUUAGGUGGAGAACAGGACCAAAACGAUAUAUGGUACUUGCCCUAAGCCCCUAAGUUUUCUCCACUAACUUUUAGCUUGUGUUUGAUUUGUAAAACAAAAGUAAUGGACAGAACCGUAUAGUAAGAUAAUAUUUUUUGUAUUAAAAAAUAAAAUGGAUAUUUUCGUAUUUUUUAUAGUUGUAUUGUGGACAAAAAAUUGUCUUGUGGUUUAGAGGAGGUCAAAAAUUAUUGUUUUUAUCAUGCCUCUUACUAGCUAUUUUGUCCACUCUCAUAACCAGAUUCUAACGGGGGGCGGAUCUAGACAUAAAAUAUUGGUGUGGCUAAAAUGAAAGAAAUUAUGAACUAAAUUAUAUCAAAAAUAAUAAAUAAUGUUGUUUAAUGCAAUACAUUUACUAUACUCAAUUCAGUCAUACAAAUAAAAUCAUUUUUUGCAAAAUCGACGUCUUUGUUUACCUUGAAAUUUAUUAUUUUUACACUAUAUAAAGUUUAAAUUCAACUCAUUUAUUUAACGAAUUUAAUUUUAGCUCAAGUUUGAAUGAACAAAAUUUUAUUUAAUUAAUUAUGAAAUUGAGUCUCGUUUCAAGUUGCUUGAAGUAUUUUCAUGAAUGAAUUAAAUAGAGUAAUAUUACUAUUGAACAUCAAAAUACCGACUAUGUAUGUAAUAAUAUAAAAUGAUUAUCUCUAUCUCUCUUAGUUUUUCACACUCCGUUGGAGAUAUUCUAGAAUUUAUAUAAUAUUAAUAUCUGAAAAACUGAUUUAAUUUAAACUGCAUAAAAUUAGAUUAGAUCGUAUUGAAUUUUUUAAUUGUCAUCCAUAAUUGAACCAAACCGGAAGAAAAUCUUUUUUUGAAUCGGAUGACUUUUUACUUUAAAACUGAUCCAAACUAAACUGUGAACACCCUAAAUUUUAGCCGAUGGAAAUAUUGCAUGUAAUAUAAAAAUAUUGAAAUUUUUUUGUUUCGAAUGAAGCGUAAGAUCGAACUAAGAACUUCUUCACGAUUAAAAAAAAUAAUGAACUUUGAAUUAUUAUACAUUUCACUUAUUCAUUCAUUCAUACUAUAAAAAAAACCACUAGACUGAUUAAAAAAAUAAGUUUCCUGUCAACUGUCAAGAGUGAAUUAAUAAUUCCUCAAAGUCUGUCUUUGCACGGUAGCAGGUAAAGGAAGGCACCUAGAAGUUGCCAACAAUUGCUUGCAAGUUCUUGUUGGUACUUACAAUGCAACCGAUCUAAUAAUAAUAAUAAUCUGAUGAUAACAUUGAUAUGAAUUGAAAUGGCAGAACUUGCAGUUUCAUCUGUUUUGGAAAUACUCUACCAAUUUGUACUAGAAGCAGCAUCUUUAUCAACAGGGGUUGAGAGAGAAUUCAAUGACAUAAAAAAUGAGCUUGAGAGCAUCCGAGGCUUGCUUAAGGAUGCAGAUAGAAUUGCAGCAGAUGAUGAAGGAGGAGAAGCCAAAGAAGGAGUCAAAACUUGGGUGAAUCAGCUAAGAGAAACAUCUUUUCGCAUAGAAGAUGUGAUUGAUGAGUAUAUCAUGUAUGACGCACAAAAGGUCAACAAUUCUGGAAGCCUAGCCUCAAUCAAAAAGUUAGCUCAAAACAUCAAAACCUUGAAACAAAGACAUCAAAUUGCUUCUGAGAUUCAAGACAUAAAGUCAUCACUUGGUCAAAUCAAACAAAGAAGUUUGAGGUAUGGAUUUAAGUAUGAAAGUGGAUCAAGCAGCUCAGGAGGGUCUAAAGCUCAUAGAAUUGAUGAUUCUCGAAUGACUCAUUAUUUCAUCGAUGAGGCUGAAAUUGUGGGGUUUGAGUAUUCAAGAGAUGAAUUGGUUAGUUGCUUGGUUGAGGGAACCAAUGAUCUCCUGUUGGUUUCUGUUGUAGGCAUGGGAGGAGUUGGAAAAACUACUCUCGCAAAGAUUGUUUUUGAUAAUCAGUCGGUGAAUGAGCAUUUUGAUUGUCGCGCUUUCAUAACAGUUUCUCAAGCCUACAAUGCGAGGGAGUUGUUGACAGAGAUGAUAAAGCAGUUUAGCAAAGACAGCAAUGAGCCUAUUCCAAAGGGUCUGCAGAAGAUGGAUGAGCAAACAUUGAUUACUCAUGUGAGAGAAUACCUUGAGUCAAAAAGGUACUUGGUUUUAUUUGAUGAUGUUUGGAAAGAAAAUUUUUCUGAUGAGAUUAAACAUGCCUUAGUUAGUAAUAACAAAGGAAGUAGAAUCAUUGUAACCACUAGAAUAAGGCAUGUAGCUGAAUAUUUUAAGAAAUCUGUUCGUGUUCAUGUUCACGAGCUACUACCUUUGCCUUCAAACAAAGCAUGGGAACUGUUUUGCAAGAAGGCAUUUAGAGGGCAGUAUCCAAUACCACUUGAGGAGAUUUCCAGACAAAUUGUUCAAAAAUGUCAUGGGCUACCACUAGCAAUUGUGGCCAUUGGUGGUCUUUUGUCAAUAAAACCUAAAACUGUCUCUCAAUGGAAAAUGGUGAACCAUAAUUUGAGAAUCGAGUUAGAGCGCAAUGUGCAUUUAACCAGUUUAACAAAGAUUUUAUCUCUUAGUUACGAUGAUUUGCCUUAUCGUUUGAAAGCAUGCAUGCUGUAUUUUGGUAUAUAUCCUACGGAGGACUACACCAUCAAUAGCAAGAGACUUGCUCGACAAUGGAUGGCUGAUGGGUUAGUUAGGCAUGAGGAGAGAAGAAAUUUGGAGGAUGUUGCUCAAGAGUACCUGACAGAGUUGAUAGAUAGAAGUUUGGUUCAAGUUUCCAAAGUUGGUUUUGAUGGAAGAGUCAAAAGUUGUCAAGUCCAUAAUUUGUUGCGUAAAGUGAUUGUUAGAAAAAUGCAAGAUUUAAGCUUUUGUCAUUUAAUGCAUGACUAUGAUGAACAAGUAACAGUUGGAAUAACCAGGCGGUUAUCUAUAUCUUCCAUCUCCAACAAUGUGUUCAGAAGCACAAUAAACUCAGGAAUUCGUGCUAUUUUUGUUUUCGACAAAGGUGAAUUACCUAAAGAUUUCAUGGAUGGAUUGUCUGCCAAGUUCAAGCUUUUGAAAGUACUUGAUUUCGAGAAUUCUUUGUUAAAUUAUAUUCCUCAUAACUUGGGGAAUCUUUUCCACCUAAGAUACUUGAACCUGAGUCAUACAAAAGUUACAAUUCUUCCGAAAUCCAUUUGUAUGCUAGUCAAUUUAGAAACUUUGGAUCUAAGGCAAACUAAAGUUAGUGAGUUACCAAAAGAGAUAAAAAAGCUCACAAAACUAAGGUUUCUUCCAGUUUAUUAUAGAAAAUAUGAUGAAGGGAAGUAUUCUAUAUUGAACUUUACAGAUGGAGUGAAAAUGCAAAAAGGUAUUGGAUGCUUGAAAUCUUUACAAAAGCUUUACUUUUUAGAUGUAGAUCAUGGUGGAAUAGACCUUAUCCAAGAUCUGAAAAUGUUGAAACAGUUAAGGAAGUUAGGCAUAAAGUGUGUGCGUCAAGAAUAUGGAAAUGCUCUAUGUGCUGCAAUACAAGAGAUGAACCAUCUCGAAUCUCUAAACAUUACUGCUAAAGAUGAGAAUGAAAUCCUUGACUUGGAUUUUGUAUCAAUUCCACCACCUAAUCUUAGAGUUCUCAACUUGAAAGGUAGAUUGCCAAAUUUGCCUAAUUGGAUUCCAAAUCUCAACUGUCUCGUGAAGUUAAGACUCGGCUUAUCUAACUUUGAACAUGAUCCGCUUGACUCUUUGAAGAGUUUACCAAACUUGUUGAGGUUGAAUUUGUGGGAUGAUGCAUUUUCUGGUGAAAGUUUGCAUUUUCAAGUUGGAGGGUUUCCUAAGCUGAAAGAACUUGAUCUCACUAGAUUGAAUAAACUCAAUUCUGUAUCUAUAGACAAAGAAGCUUUACUUGGUCUUGAACACUUCAGAUUUGAAAACAACCCUCAAUUGAAGGUGUUACCCCAAGACCUCCAAAACUUGAAAAACCUUCAAUUCCUUGAAUUCGCAGAGAUGCCAGAUGACUUAAUUGAUAGCAUUGAUCCAGGGAAAGAUGGCCAAUACCAUUGGAUUAUCAAUCAUAUUCCCCGUGUACAAAUUCGUCAGAAAUUUGGAUCAAAAUUUCAUGAUUAUAAUUUGCACUGCAUUCCUACUCAAAUCAAUGUCUGAAAUAUCAAGGUACUCUUACCUCUAAUAAUGUCAUGCUUCUCUUUUAUGAAUGUUUGAAAUUUCAUUGCCACUCAAACCAAAGUACAUUUUUUUUCAAUUUUGUUUUUCAAUAUGUGCUUCGAUCUUCCCUUUACAUGAUUGUUUGCAUCUUUCUUGAUUUCAAGUUAAACAAUGCUGCAAUCCAUGAUUGUUUGCAUUACAUGCGACUAUAUAUAACGUCAGUUUAGUCGCAUGUAAAAAACCGUGAACAUGAUUAUUUAUUUAGCAUUGGAAAAUAGCUUGCUAAGUUAUUUGUAUCAUUCUCAAUUCUGACAGUUUCCUGUGUCCAUGUGCACAGAUCAAAUUCUCCAUGCUGCAGCUCACAAGAUGCACUUUGACUCGUCAUUCCUUCUAUGGCGUGCUUGAAUUUCCCUAUAAAUUAUUUCCUUGAAUUUGAACUCAUCUACUACAUAAUCAAGUAAUGUGUACUCUAUUAAUUGACAAAUGGUUCUGGUUUUCUUUUUCUGUUUUAUUUCAUUCGUGAUGUUGUUUGCUCUGCACUCUUUUUUCCUUCACCAAGGUUUUAUUCUCUGGUAAGGUUUUUAACGAGGCAGAUGUUGUUUAUGCCUUUGGUUGUUUUCUUUGGGUCAUGGCCUAGUCCCCCCAUUAUCUGUAAUUUCUCAUUUUCUACUUUGAAUAAAGUCAUGGAGGAUUCUUAAAUCAUGAUGGUGAUCUGCAAUCGUGGUGUCUAUUCCAUUCUAAUCUACAAUCCUGCAUAAGUUGAGAUAAUUGGAAGCAUCAAUCAUAAGUUUCAUUUUCCUCAAUCUCAUUUUUCCUCCCUCUAAAUCUACUGCACAUUAGCAAAAGGAAAAUAUCAUAUAAUAAUUGUCAUUUUAUUUUUCAAUUUAAAAUUAAUUAACUAUAUGUUAGGCUAAAGGGUUUCAUGUGCUCCGAUUAAGGUUGAAUCGAUCAAGAGUACACAAAUUCGGACCCCAGUUGAAACAAUCAUUGGUUAGCUUAACUCACCUCGAUCACGACCAAAUUAUGAAUUACUGCCCAAGAAACGGAAUUAUUAAGACCAACUAAAAUGUAAUACUAUAAAUAAUUUUUCCAAUUCUACCCUAAAUCUAUCACCACACCUACCUAAAUUGAUAUUCAGAUUUCAGCCACAAUAUUCCUUUCAUCAAUCAAACAUGGUUGCUAGUCUAAUUUAAAGGAUAGUAAGAUGUACAAAGUUUAAAUAUGGUUUAAUUCAUGUUUGUUUUUAUGUUGAUCAAAGUUGGAGUCAUCAACCUAAUGUGUUUGUUAUUUGUGUGUGAGCAAACCUAAGCACUAUAUUAUAUGUUCUUGCUAAUUACAUGGCAUAUGUUACAUAUAUGCUUUAAAAAUAGUACAAGAUAGAACAACACAGGACAAAUAUUUAAGGUAUUGAACAAACUUUGUGUUGGAUGUUUGGUGGACAAAAAGUUAUUUUGGUAUUUUAGACAACUUGGUUCUGUGGGAGACAAGAAUUUCAGUUUUUGUCCUAUCUCUUGACCUCCAGUUUGUCCAGUACCAGAAACAGUUUUAAAAUCAAACACAGUACAACAGAAGUUGUCCUGACCGGUCCCUUAUUUUUUAGCAGAUCAAACACACCCUUAAUAUAUUUUGAUCACACAAACAUGUAUGCUUAUUUGGGAGCAUCUAAUGGAUGCAUAUCUGUCUAAACUCUAGAGUGCUAAAAAUGGAUGAUUUGGUGAUUGUAUGCCUAAUUUAAAAAUGGAUGAAUAUGAUUUGGUGGUUUAAUUUGAUUGGGAAAGAUCUUGCGAAUAAUCAAUUUUCCACUUCUCAAAAUUAAUGUGUGAUUUUAGACGCAAAACUUUUUAAAACAAAAAUAUAUAUAUUGCACAAUCCAAGUAUUAUUUAAAAUUAAAAGUUGAAAUUAGGUGCAGUUGUUAGAUGCACUUAACAAAUCAGAAUCGUCCAAUCAAGAUCGAAUCGUUCAAAUUUUAAAAUUGUUUUAGGUUUUUGUUUAAUAUAAACUUUUAAGAUUGAAAUCUAGAUCAUACGAUCAAAAUUGGAUGACUUUGAGCUUGUUGACUACAUGCGGUCACUGACAUGUGACUACACACAAAUUGGAUCCCAGUUUCCCUCACAACCCUACAAAGUUUAGGUUGAAUUUGUGGGAUGAUGCAUUUUCUGGUGAAAGUUUGCAUUUUCAAGUUGGAGGGUUUCCUAAGCUGAAAGAACUUGAUCUCACUAGAUUGAAUAAACUAAGUUCUAUCACUAUAGAGAAAGGAGCUUUACUUGGUCUUGAUCAUUUCAGAUUGAACAACAAUCCUCAAUUGAAGGUGGUUCCACAAGACUUUAAGCACCUGGAAAAUCUUCAAUUCCUUGGAUUUGCUGAUAUGCCACUUCAAUUGGUUGAUAGCAUUGAUCCAAGAAAAGGUGGAGAAUGUCAUUGGAUAAUCAAGCAUAUUCCUCUAGUACUCAUUCGUCGGAAAGUAGGAUCAAGAUUUCAUGACUAUGAGUUGUACCCUAUUCCUAC